GUCGAACGGCAGCGCGAGAAGAGCUUGCUCUCUUGGCGGCGAGUGGCGGACGGGUGAGUAAUAUAUCGGAACGUGCCCAGUAGCGGGGGAUAACUACUCGAAAGAGUGGCUAAUACCGCAUACGCCCUACGGGGGAAAGGGGGGGAUCGCAAGACCUCUCACUAUUGGAGCGGCCGAUAUCGGAUUAGCUAGUUGGUGGGGUAAAGGCUCACCAAGGCAACGAUCCGUAGCUGGUUUGAGAGGACGACCAGCCACACUGGGACUGAGACACGGCCCAGACUCCUACGGGAGGCAGCAGUGGGGAAUUUUGGACAAUGGGGGAAACCCUGAUCCAGCCAUCCCGCGUGUAUGAUGAAGGCCUUCGGGUUGUAAAGUACUUUUGGCAGAGAAGAAAAGGUAUCCCCUAAUACGGGAUACUGCUGACGGUAUCUGCAGAAUAAGCACCGGCUAACUACGUGCCAGCAGCCGCGGUAAUACGUAGGGUGCAAGCGUUAAUCGGAAUUACUGGGCGUAAAGCGUGUGUAGGCGGUUCGGAAAGAAAGAUGUGAAAUCCCAGGGCUCAACCUUGGAACUGCAUUUUUAACUGCCGAGCUAGAGUAUGUCAGAGGGGGGUAGAAUUCCACGUGUAGCAGUGAAAUGCGUAGAUAUGUGGAGGAAUACCGAUGGCGAA
rnacentral:rRNA from 1 species